AGCUACAUCCGUCACCUGACACGGCCCUACCAGGAACAGCCGCGCUCCCGCGGAUUCUGGUGCUGCUCGCGUCCCCGCUCCCCUAUUCCCCUUAUUUUAUUCCUGGCUCCCCUCGUCGAAAGUCUUCCAUUCUUCAAACUAGAUUAUUUAAAAAUGAAAAAGGAAGAAAGGAAAGCGAGGUCAUCUCAUUGCUCUAUCCGCCAAUCAGGAGGCUGAAUGUCAGUUUUGAACUAAAAGCCGCUCCGCUCCUCUUCUAGAUUUGGAAAACAAGCGAAAUUAAACUAAACCGCUGCACGCCUCUGACGCGACAUCUGGACACGGCGCGGCGCUGGCGCUGCCGGAGCUGUCGACCCGGCCUGGCGCCGGACUAGUGUCCCUUUUGAUGAGAAGAAUAAGCCUCAUUCUGAUUCAACAGCAGAGAUCAAAGAAAAGACUUCUGUUUUCUGGCCACCAGAUAUAUGUUAUCUGUGCUUAAAGAAUUGAAAAACACACAUCAAAGGAGAAUUUUCUUGGAAAGAGAGGGUUCAAGCAUCACUGUUAGGUGUGCUGGAAUCCUUUCCCGAGUCAGUACUGCUUUCUAGAAGAAAACCGGGGAGAUCUAUUUGGAAUGUAUCUAACUCCAAAGAAACCAUCAGAGGUAACAGGUGGAGAACUUCAGUAGAGGAAGUGGCAGGAAUUUGGGAAUGAGGAGCACAGUGAUUAAACUGGGGCCAUUCAUAUGAGAGUUUAAGAACUCAGACCAGUGACUUAGAUUGGCUUCUCUCACAUGGCAAGAAACAUUGCUGCUAGCACUUCCCGAGUUCUACGUUCUACAACAUCCACCACUGGAUCUUAACAUAGACGUAAGAUCAAAUGCAAUAGCAUGUCAAACAAUGUGUAACUCCAGUUAUACAAACAUUACUGUAUCUCAUUGGGGAUACGAAGCUCUACACACUUGAAGAUGGUGAAGGAAUAUAAAAAUCUAUGUCUCACAGUCCAGACUUGGAGUACAAGUAAUAAGAAGAAUAAAACUUAAUCCCUUAAGUAGAUUCACCAUAAGUUAGCUCAGAGCAAUUCCAGUGCAAGUAUGGUCUGUGAUCCAGUAGUAUCUUACAGACAGCAAGUUGAACAUUGUGGGAUGCAUGAGCUAUUGAGGCCUUUGCAGCUUUCUGCUACAUGGAGGCUAGGGCCAGAGUCAAGAUUUAUGCUUUGCAGCACACUGGUCAGCUGUUUUUGCAAAUCAGAUUAAAUGAUUUUUAAAUGAGGCUGAGAGCAUGGGAGAUACUAAUGUGUGUUUCCUUGUGAGCUACUGCAUAAGUUAGGAAAUUGAAAUACAGAAAGAUGAAAAGUGAUUUGCCCAAGCAUAUAGAUCAAAGCUGUGGCAGAACCAGGACUGGAACCUAUAUCUCUCUACUAAUGGUUUUUUUAAAAAAAUAACCUUGUUUCAAAAAUAUUAAAAAGUCACAAGAAAGGUAAACAUGUGGAUAAACAAAAUGAAGAAAAUAAAAAUUAUCCAGUAAUAACAUAUUGGCAUAUGUCUUUCUGGUAUAUUUUCCUGUGUUGUCAUCAUUAUCAUCUCCAUCAUCAUUAUAUCCAUCAUUAUCAUCAUCAUCAUCAUCAUCAUCAUCAUUAUCAUCACCAUAGUGAACAUGUAAUGCUUACCUAGUGCCAGAUGCUGUCUAGGCAUUUUACAUGUGUUACUGGUAACUCAUGUAAUCCUCAUAACAACCUUAUAAGGUGGUUGCUAUUAUCCCCAUGUUACAUAUGAAGAGACAGAAGCAUAAAGAAGUUGCACCGCUGGUAAUUGGCUGGGAUUUGAACUUAAGCAGUCUAACCUUAGAGUAAUGAUUUUAACAACUAUGCUAUAUACAUACAAAUUUACAAAAUAAAACUGGGCUCAGACAAUAA
rnacentral:lncRNA from 10 species